rnacentral:lncRNA from 1 species
GCAAUAGCAGGUUGUGGAGGAGCCACAGUACCACGACCCUGCUGCUGAUAUUGUGGAGCAAUCAUACCACCACGUCCCGAGUACUGAGGAGUGGCACUAGGCUGUUGAGGCAUCACACCACGGCCCGGAUACUGAGCACUAACACCAGGUUGCUGAGAAGGCAUACCACCACGACCCUGGUACUGAACACCCCCACCAGGUUGCUGAGGAGGCGCACCACCACGACCCUGGUACUGAACACCCCCACCAGGUUGCUGAGGAGGCGCGCCACCACGACCCUGGUACUGAACACCCCCACUAGGUUGCUGAGGAACCAUACCACCACGACCCUGGUACUGAGCUAUACUGCCAGGUUGCUGAUGAGGCAUGCCACCACGGCCCUGAUACGGAGCGCCACUAGCAGACUGUUGAGGAGGCACACCACCACGACCAGGUUGAUGAGGUGCCAUACCACCCCGACUGUAUCCACCACCACGUGCUUGAUAAAAACCUCCAGUCCCU